GACGAGCAUCACAAACGUUAUUCGGAAUUACUGGGCUUAAAGGGUGCGUAGGCGGUGCAGCAAGUCGGGAGUGAAAUCCCACAGCUCAACUGUGGAAUUGCUUUCGAUACUGCUGUGCUUGAGUGAGACAGAGGUAAGCGGAACUUAGGGUGGAGCGGUGAAAUGCGUUGAUAUCCUAAGGAACACCGGUGGCGAAGGCGGCAUCCUGGACCGGUAUUGACGCUGAGGCGCGAAAGCCAGGGGAGCAAACGGG
rnacentral:rRNA from 1 species